rnacentral:rRNA from 1 species
AAUGAACGCUGGCGGCGUGCCUAACACAUGCAAGUCGAACGAGAAAAUAUCUUCGGAUAUAAGUAAAGUGGCGAACGGGUGAGUAACACGUGAGAAUCUGCCUUUUAGUGAAGAAUACUCUCGAGAAAUCGAGGUUAAUACUGCAUACGCCCUGCGGGGGAAAGACGGCCUCUUUGCUGUCGCUGAAAGAUGAGCUUGCGGACUAUUAGUUUGUUGGUAGGGUAAAGGCCUACCAAGACUGUGAUGGAUAGCCGACCUGAGAGGGUGACCGGCCACACUGGAACUGACACACGGUCCAGACUCCUACGGGAGGCAGCAGUGGGGAAUAUUGCACAAUGAGCGAAAGCUUGAUGCAGCGACGCCGCGUGGAGGAUGAAGGUUUUCGGAUUGUAAACUCCCGUUAAGUGGGAAGAAAGACUCGUAGGUAAUAUAUGCGAGGGAUGACGGUACCACUAGAGAAAGCUCCGGCUAACUUCGUGCCAGCAGCCGCGGUAAUACGAAGGGAGCUAGCGUUAUUCGGAAUUACUGGGCGUAAAGAGCGUGUAGGCGGUUAAUUAAGUUAGUUGUUAAAUUCCUCGGCUUAACCGAGGGUCAGCGAUUAAUACUGAUUGACUAGAGGGCGAGAGAGAAAAGUGGAAUUCUCGGAGUAGCGGUAAAAUGCAUAGAUCUCGAGAGGAACACCGGUUGCGAAGGCGGCUUUUUGGCUCGUUUCUGACGCUAAAGCGCGAAAGCGUGGGGAGCAAACAGGAUUAGAUACCCUGGUAGUCCACGCCGUAAACGAUGAUCACUAGAUGUGGGUUUUGUUUUGCAAGAUCCGUGUCGAAGCUAACGCG